AGGCAUUAGAUUCUCAUAAGAAGUGCACAACCUAGAUUUCUCACAUGUGCAGUUCACAUGGGGUUUGAGCUUCUGUGAGAAUCAGAUGUCUGGGCUGAUCUGACAGGAGGCAGAGCUCAGGUGGUAAAGCUCGCUCACCCACCACUCACCUCCUGAUGUGCAGCCGGGUUCCUGACAGGCCAUGGACAGGAACCUACCAAGGGUCCUACAUUGCAUUUAGCUGUCAUGUCUCCUCAGUCUGCUCUCGUCUAAAGAGAAAAAAGAAAGAAAGGAAGAAAAAGAAGAAAGAGAGAAAGAAAGAAAAAAAAGAAUGAAAGAGAGAAAGAAAGAGGAAGAGAAAGAGGGAGAGAGAAUGGGAAUCUUGCUCUAUUGCCCAGGCUAGAAUGCAGUCUAAAAAUGGGUAUUAAAAACCUCUUUUAUGCCAAUAAAUGUGCUUAACAAUGGAGACA
rnacentral:lncRNA from 13 species